AUUGACGGGGGCCCGCACAAGCGGCGGAGCAUGCGGAUUAAUUCGAUGCAACGCGAAGAACCUUACCUGGGCUUGACAUACACCAGAUCGCCGUAGAGAUACGGUUUCCCUUUGUGGUUGGUGUACAGGUGGUGCAUGGUUGUCGUCAGCUCGUGUCGUGAGAUGUUGGGUUAAGUCCCGUAACGAGCGCAACCCUUGUCCUUAGUUACCAGCACGUUAUGGUGGGCACUCUAAGGAGACUGCCGGUGACAAACCGGAGGAAGGUGGGGAUGACGUCAAGUCAUCAUGGCCCUUACGUCCAGGGCUACACACGUGCUACAAUGGCAGGUACAAAGA
rnacentral:rRNA from 1 species